UGUUUUAUGGAGUUUUAUGAA
rnacentral:piRNA from 1 species